AUCCGGAUAAUCAAGGCUGAGGUGUGAUGACGAGGCACUACGGUGCUGAAGUAACAAAUGCCCUGCUUCCAGGAAAGCCUCUAAGCAUCAGGUAACAUCAAAUCGYACCCCAAACCGACACAGGUGGUCAGGUAGAGAAUACCAAGGCGCUUGAGAGAACUCGGGUGAAGGAACUAGGCAAAAUGGUGCCGUAACUUCGGGAGAAGGCACGCUGGUGUGUAGGUGAAGUCCCUGCGGAUGGAGCUGAGACCAGUCGAAGAUACCAGCUGGCUGCAACUGUUUAUUAAAAACACAGCACUGUGCAAACACGAAAGUGGACGUAUACGGUGUGACGCCUGCCCGGUGCCGGAAGGUUAAUUGAUGGGGUUAUCCGUAAGGAGAAGCUCUUGAUCGAAGCCCCGGUAAACGGCGGCCGUAACUAUAACGGUCCUAAGGUAGCGAAAUUCCUUGUCGGGUAAGUUCCGACCUGCACGAAUGGCGUAAUGAUGGCCAGGCUGUCUCCACCCGAGACUCAGUGAAAUUGAACUCGCUGUGAAGAUGCAGUGUACCCGCGGCAAGACGGAAAGACCCCGUGAACCUUUACUAUAGCUUGACACUGAACAUUGAGCCUUGAUGUGUAGGAUAGGUGGGAGGCUUUGAAGCGUGGACGCCAGUCUGCGUGGAGCCAACCUUGAAAUACCACCCUUUAAUGUUUGAUGUUCUAACGUUGGCCCCUGACCGGGGUUGCGGACAGUGUCUGGUGGGUAGUUUGACUGGGGCGGUCUCCUCCCAAAGCGUAACGGAGGAGCACGAAGGUUAGCUAAUCCUGGUCGGACAUCAGGAGGUUAGUGCAAUGGCAUAAGCUAGCUUGACUGCGAGCGUGACGGCGCGAGCAGGUGCGAAAGCAGGUCAUAGUGAUCCGGUGGUUCUGAAUGGAAGGGCCAUCGCUCAACGGAUAAAAGGUACUCCGGGGAUAACAGGCUGAUACCGCCCAAGAGUUCAUAUCGACGGCGGUGUUUGGCACCUCGAUGUCGGCUCAUCACAUCCUGGGGCUGAAGUAGGUCCCAAGGGUAUGGCUGUUCGCCAUUUAAAGUGGUACGCGAGCUGGGUUUAGAACGUCGUGAGACAGUUCGGUCCCUAUCUGCCGUGGGCGCUGGAGAAUUGAGGGGGGCUGCUCCUAGUACGAGAGGACCGGAGUGGACGCAUCACUGGUGUUCGGGUUGUCAUGCCAAUGGCACUGCCCGGUAGCUAAAUGCGGAAGAGAUAAGUGCUGAAAGCAUCUAAGCACGAAACUUGCCCCGAGAUGAGUUCUCCCUGAGACUUUAAGUCUCCUGAAGGAACGUUGAAGACGACGACGUUGAUAGGCCGGGUGUGUAAGCGCAGCGAUGCGUUGAGCUAACCGGUACUAAUGAACCGUGAGGCUUAACCUU
rnacentral:rRNA from 1 species